rnacentral:rRNA from 1 species
UGGGGAAUUUUGGACAAUGGGCGCAAGCCUGAUCCAGCCAUGCCGCGUGCGGGAAGAAGGCCUUCGGGUUGUAAACCGCUUUUGUCAGGGAAGAAAUCUUCUGAGUUAAUACCUCGGGAGGAUGACGGUACCUGAAGAAUAAGCACCGGCUAACUACGUGCCAGCAGCAGCGGUAAUACGUAGGGUGCAAGCGUUAAUCGGAAUUACUGGGCGUAAAGCGUGCGCAGGCGGUUUUGUAAGACAGAGGUGAAAUCCCCGGGCUCAACCUGGGAACUGCCUUUGUGACUGCAAGGCUUGAGUGCGGCAGAGGGGGGAUGGAAUUCCGCGUGUAGCAGUGAAAUGCGUAGAUAUGCGGAGGAACACCGAUGGCGAAGGCAAUCCCCUGGGCCUGCACUGACGCCCCAUGCACGGAAGCGUGGGGAGCAAACAGGAUUAGAUACCCUGGUAGUCCACGCCCUAAAACGUGUCAAACUGGUUGUUGGGAAGGUUUCUUCUCAGUAACGUAGCUAACGCGUGAAGUUGGACCGCCUGGGGAGUACGGCCGCAAGG